UACAGAGGGUGCAAGCGUUAAUCGGAAUUACUGGGCGUAAAGCGUGCGUAGACGGUUACAUAAGUCGGGUGUGAAAGCCCCGGGCUCAACCUGGGAAUUGCAUUCGAGACUGCGUAGCUAGGGUGCGGAAGAGGGAAGCGGAAUUUCCGGUGUAGCGGUGAAAUGCGUAGAUAUCGGGAAGGAACACCAGUGGCGAAAGCGGCUUCCUGGUCCAGCACCGACGUCAGGCACGAAAGCGUGGGGAGCAAACAGG
rnacentral:rRNA from 1 species